UUAAAUGCAAAAUUUGACCUUUAUAAAUUCCUUACAAGGGAUAAACAAUCCUAGUAGAAUGAAACAAACCCAUAUAAAAUACAAAUCAAGAAAUCAGUAUGAAUACUUAACUAAACAAUUCAGCUAUACUAGAUAGAUGUUCAAUUCUAAAAAGUAACUCCUUGACAAACACAAAUGUCGCAGGCACAAGCCCCAACAUUGGGCGUUAGCUGCUACAUCGAAUCAACGAGUUGGUGCGUUGAAUUUGUCGUUGACAAAUCAAGUCCAUUAUGAGAAACUUACAAACAUUCGAAAAACAUUAUAUCUAUCAAACCAAAUGUAGACAAAACAAGUCUGUUUAGACUUGAUAAAACUGACUCACCACGAACUCGAGAAAAUUGGACCACCAAGGACUCGAGAAAACAUCCUUUAAGGGAGACCAGGGCCAAACCUUGGGCUAUAUUUAUUUUUCCAAAAAGAGGGGUAUCUUUUUGCUGAAAAAAAGGUGUGUGGUCGGUUAAGAGGUUACAAGGGGCGACGGGGGAAGCGAGGGUGAGAGAUACUAAAAGAGGUGAAGAAGAGGGUGGUGACAACGGUGAGAAAAGGAGAGAAAAGAAGUAGUGAGCAUGGUGAGCAAAGGGUGGGUCAAUGGGAGAGGGAGAGAGUUAGUAGUGAAGAUAAGAAAGGGAGGGUAACUAGGAAAGAAA
rnacentral:lncRNA from 1 species